rnacentral:ncRNA from 1 species
CUAAAGGUGUAGAUGGAAAAAAGUAGGGUUGCAGAUAUCCUCGCAGAGAGCCGGUGGCGGGUGUAAACCGGCAGGUGAUGCAGCGUGAAGUUCUUUCCUGAACUGCAAGGCUGAACCGUUACAGUAGGCCGAGCCGGUGUGGCAGCCGUUAUGAGCGCUAUGAGUUGAUCCGAUUCGAGAUUAUUAGGGUGGUACCGCGGAAUUUUCCGUCCCUUGC